CCUACGGGAGGCAGCAGUAGGGAAUCUUUCACAAUGGGCGAAAGCCUGAUGGAGCAACGCCGCGUGCAGGAAGAAGGCCUUCGGGUUGUAAACUUCUUUUAUAAGCGAGAAAUAUGAUGGUAACUUAUGAGUAAGGAUCGGCUAACUACGUGCCAGCAGCCGCGGUCAUACUUAGGAUCCGAGCAUUAUCCGGAGUGACUGGGUGUAAAGAGUUGCGUAGGGGGCAUAAUAAGUAGCUAGUGAAAUCUGGUGGCUCAACCAUUCAGACUAUUAGCUAAACUGUUAAGCUCGAGACCGUUAGAGGUAACUGGAAUUUCUAGUGUAGGAGUGAAAUCCGUAGAUAUUAGAAGGAACACCAAUAGCGUAGGCAGGUUACUGGGACGGUUCUGACACUAAGGCACGAAAGCGUAGGGAGCAAACGGGAUUAGAUACCCGUGUAGUC
rnacentral:rRNA from 1 species